rnacentral:rRNA from 1 species
CAGUCGCCGCGGGAAUACGGAGGGUGCGAGCGUUAAUCGGAAUUACUGGGCGUAAAGCGUGCGCAGGCGGUUUGUUAAGACAGAUGUGAAAUCCCCGGGCUCAACCUGGGAACUGCAUUUGUGACUGGCAGGCUAGAGUAUGGCAGAGGGGGGUGGAAUUCCGCGUGUAGCAGUGAAAUGCGUAGAUAUGCGGAGGAACACCGAUGGCGAAGGCAAUCCCCUGGGCCUGUACUGACGCUCAUGCACGAAAGCGUGGGGAGCAAACAGGAUUAGAUACCCCCGUAGUCCCUGUCUCUUAUAA